rnacentral:lncRNA from 1 species
GGCAGGGUAGGUCCCAGCAUACGCUGUCGUUCACCACUUUGGAAGGACGGGAGCCUGCUGAGGGGUAACAGGGCGUUUAUUACCACAGCAUGUCUUAGGCAAGCACCUAAAAUGAUCACAAGCUUCAGUAUGUUUAAUAAGCUUUUAUUUCAAUACAAGGCAAACAAAUCAAGGAAUUUUUAUGCAGUUUAGUAAGAACAGAAGUAGAAAUUGGAAAUUUAGACAGUUGGAUUAGUUUUAUUUACAGAGUGAGAUCUGUCUGUUUCCCUCUGGUGGUGACUGGCACCGUUUAAAAGAAUCUGCGGAAUUCCUAACCGUGACAGACGCUGAUACUGCUGGGGACACAAGACCCUCUUGGCCAGCGUCAGCUCAAGGCACCUCCUCGCCUGCCGACAGUGGCAUGGAGACUGGGGGCUGUGGCAUUGGGGGUGGCUCCAGGGCCUGGGACCCUGGCUCCUGAGCGGGUGCGCCACCCUCAGUGUGGGGGAGGACGAGGGAGUGGACACCCACCCAAGGGGGUGACGGGACAGGCUUCCUAAACCACUGGAGCUCUGAGGCUCCUGGCAUAUCCCUCCCACGGGGCUGCAUCUCCGGUGCCUCCCCUCCCCUCCUGUGUUCCACCCACCCUGCCCUGUUCUGGGUGUCUGCAGCUCCGCCACACCUGGUACAAAUAUCUGCCUUGCUCUGCUGUACCCAACAGCUCUGAGAUUUUUAGGAAGCGAAGGGGCAGAAGAAGCGACUCACAAGCUCCUGGAGCCGUGUUGGGAGGGGCCCUCGGGGCCCCUGGAGUGGAGAGACACACCCAGAGGCUUUCCAGCCACCCAGGGAGGAGGCGCGGUGGCUGGGAUUUGGAGACAGCUGUGGAGGUGGGUGCAGGAGGCCGGGUUCUCUGUAUUUCCAGACUAGAGGCAGCGGCAGCUAUUGGUGUGGGGUGGGAGGGGAGAGCAGCUGGGACAUAGAAACAUUCCGAACCUAUGAUAAGCUCCCUGCUUCCAAACCCUUAAAUGUCCUUAAUCUGUAAGAAAGAACACUCCUGACCAAAAUUGGCCAGGAGGCCCUCUCAGGUUUAUUCUCUGAAAUAAACCUGUCCUUGACUGUGGAGCUGCUUUCCCGUUUCUUUCCUCUUUCUUUAACUCUUACAGAGAGCAGCUGGAAUGGCCCCACAGGCUACAGCCCGUGUCGGUGUGGGAUGCGAGGGAGAGGAGCCAGGAUGGCCCCACAUGCUUUCCUUGGCUGCCUGGGCGGGUGCAGCAGCCACCUGAGAGGGCCGUCUGAGGACACGAGGCGGCAUCAGCCUCAUGAGAUCUGGGAUGUGCACGGGACGUCCAUGAAGCCGUCGGAGAUGUGUGUCUGGGCAGGGUGCUGACAGGGAGGGUGGGUUUCUGUGGCAUUUGGGUUUGGGGGAUGAAGCCGUGCAGGGGUGUGAGGCCUGAGGGUUGCAGCAGAUGCCUGUGUCCACAUCUGGACAGCAUUGCUGGCUAACGCCAACCCCACCUGGCUUGGGAACAGGCUUGAAUGUGUGGUCUGUCCUGGGCAAAGAGUAAGUUCCUAGAAAAUCCCAGCAGUCACUGGGAAGUCUGAUGACUUCCUGAGCCGAGCUCUUGGUGUGAUGUGAUCCCAUCGGUGGUGUUACUUCUGGUUUUUGUCUUGUUCACAAUAGGAUUUGGAGUAGUUUACAAAGGUUAACAAAGUUCAGGGAGUCAGGGAAGGGAAAAUUAAGAAAAAGCCCACAGGACAGAGUGGAGCAUGUGGCAAGGUCAGCGGCCGCGUGGACGUCUCCGAUUGUGCUGGCUGUGCUGCUGUGGCCGCGGUGGGGCAGAAGGCCAGACGUCCUCACUUCCCCCAACCCCAGUCCAGUUGUACAUGUUGUGCACUGCACAAGGGCCCUGGCAGAGGACCAAGUUGGAGUUGAAAUCCAGCCAUGGCAUGGCCCUGUGGGCUGCACACAGCAUAUGGAGGCUGCACUGGUCAGCAGCUGCUCAGCCUGAGAGAGAUCCUGGAGCCCCAUGUGGCAUCUCUGGGUCUGAAUUCUCUCUUGACACAAAGAGGACACCUCCUUGGUCGUUGCUAAGGAAUUUGAACAGAGGAGGGCCCUGCAAGUUCCCAGCGCCAUGCACUGUGCAGCCGAGCCCAACACCCGGAAGCUGCUGUCAGCUGGUCCCUCGGACACUACUGUGGGCUGGUUUGACCUCUUGGGCCCUCACUGCUCAGAGCUGCAAGGUGGCUUCAUCACUUUCUUCUGUGCAGUCCCAGCCUUCCAGAUGGUCAGAGACUGCUGGUGCCUCCCUCCACCAUCCCGUUGCUGUCCCCCAGGGCCUCAUCUCUGGGACUUCUCUACCCUACCAUCCCUCACAUUGACACAAAUGUGUACACAGAAGCACACAUGCACACACACAUACAUGCAUGUGCACAGAUGAACACACAGACACACACGCACACACAUGCACAUGCAUGCAAAGACAUGCACACAUGCAUGCACACACACACAUGCACAUGCACAGAUGAACACACAGACACACACACGCACAUGCAUGCACACAGACACACAUGCAUAUACAUGCACAGAGAUGCACACAUAUACACACAGACAUGCACACACACAUGCUACAGCAUGUGCACACAGACACACACACCCUGCACACCCCAAGCCUCGUCUGCUGUCUCUGCUGUGCCUGCUUCCCUUAGCCCCUGAUACCACCUUCCCCAGGUCUCCCAACUGCCCUGCCUGGACACAGAGAGGGGUCCUGUGAAGUCAGGCCUUGAAGGAGUGGGCGUCUCUCAGCCCCUCUGGAAGCCUCGCACCAGGACUGUCCCCUCUCCCGCAGAGCAUUCAGGACCAGCAGCCCUCAGCCCUGCAGUCUCCAGACCUGGUUCUGGGGAGCUUGGG